UCGAGGCCACGCCCCGCGCGGGGAGUCUUAAAGGGGCCGCGCGGCGGUCCCUCAGGACAGUUUUGUCCCCAAAUAGGGGAUCACUUGAUCCCCUCGCUCGUGGUGGCACCAGGAAACGCUCCUAAAGUGCAGGAGGCUCUUGGAGGCUUUUCUGGAGAGAGAAAAAAAUCAACCACUCUGGAGAAAAAUCCAAGGAAACGAGAAACCCAAAGGACACCACUCUCCUCAUCCUCCUCAUCCCACAUUUUCUUGAAGCUGAACUUGCAAAUCCCACAUUUUCCCGUGGGAUCCCACACCUUGGAGCUGCCAGAGCCCGGAGGGACACUGUGGAACAGCCUUGAUGCCUCCCAACAUUCCUUCCACUGGGACACAAUCCCACAGGGAACAUGAGGCAUCUCCUGGCCCAAACCUGCUCCGUGGCAACGACAUCCCAGAGACCCCCCAGCCCUUCCUCACUGGUCAGUGUUUGUGCCCCUGUGAGCAACAUUAACCUAUUAACAUUAAUCAUGUAUAAAAACCAACUUUUAAUUAUAUAUAUAUAUUUAAAAUAUAAUAAUGUAAUAUUUAUAAUAUAUUGCAGCCUGCAGCUUCCUCAGGAGGGGCAGCUCCAAUCUCUGCUCCCUGUGAGCAGGGACAGGACCCAGGGAAGGGCUGGAGCUGUGCCAGGGGAGGUUUGGGAUGGAUCUCAGGGAAAGGUUCUUCCCCCAGAGGGUGGUUGGGCACUGCCCAGGCUCCCCAGGGCAGUGGGCACAGCCCCAAGGCUGCCAGAGCUCCAGGAGGGUUUGGAUGAUCCCCUGAGGGACAGGGGGGGAUUGCUGGGGUGUCUGUGCAGGGCCAGGACUUGGACUGGAUAAUCCUUGGGGGUCCCUCUCAGCUCAGGAGGUUCUGUGAUCUAAAUGAUUUUCCCCAAUCCAAUGGAUUUUCCCAAUUCCCCUGGGAUGUGGUUGCUCUGUUUCUAUGGAGCAGGUGCACA